GGGCGCCCUGCCUAAGGGACGCUUCCGAUUGGUCACGCGGCCGUUCCUACAAGGCCCACAAUGCCUCGCAGAGGUCACUCCGCGUCGUCACUACGGCGCGCCAGGGCGUCACAGUGGGGCAAGGACUACGGUACCCACAGUGCCCCUCGCCGAACUGCGCAGCGAUCGGCAAGGGAGAUCGGCCUGAGCAGGGGGGCGGGAGCGACGCGGGCAGGGCGGGCGCGCCGGUUCAGCAUCCAUCAGUGUGGGCAAAACCGAGCCGUUCCGCAAUACCGGUUCUCUGCUGUUUUAUUACACGAGGUUUCACCAGAACGCUCCGUGUGUUUAAGCGACGCCCGAUCUCAGUCCCGUUAGGCUCACGGGUCACUGCAGAAGGGCCCCUUCUCAUGAGCUCUCCCUCAGCAGCAAAUCCCUGCGGCUGCAGCGCACGGCGGCCCCGCCCAACAGCACCCUGUCCCGGCAGGCAGAGGCGCGCGGCGCCGCGUGCGGCAGCCGGGGCAUGCACGCGCACAGGGCGGGGCUAGAGCCGCGAGCGGGGGGCGGCGGUUAUUAGUGCCUGCAAGGGAGGAGGCGCGCGGGGUGGGUGUUUGAUUUCCUUUGGCGUCGCCGUGCUGUGGUGGUUGUGAGUGUGUAGUGGUGUGUGCCUGAGGAGGCUUUGGGGUCAGGCGAGGUACUGUGUCUUUUGAGGUCCCUUCUGGGUUAUUCUGCACUUCACAACGUUUGUGCAGGGUUCACUGCAAUGAAGGAAUGAGAGAAAAAAAUACUUUGAGGUGGCUUCAGGUAUGAUUGAGCAGAAGUUUUAAGGAGAACAUGUAAAAGUUUUCAUCAGAGUUGAAGUUCUUUAAAUUUUGAUUAAUUUGACCUCUCGAUGUUUCCCAAGAAAUCUCCUGAGCAAGUCAUGCUGAGGAGGAAUAUUUCCUGGGUUUUGGUGUAUCUGGAUGUACUGUUGCACCCUGAAACUCCCUGCAGCUCCUUGCCUGUGGAGGCAUGUGAUGGCAGUUUGAGAAUAGCAGAAUGACAGCAUUGGCUAUGAACUACGGGAUGGUGAAUGAAGAAAUGAAAUAACUUUUUGAGGAUACUGAAACUGGUCAGCACCUUUCUGAGCUGAAAUCCCCUCUCAUCUAAUUUGAAGGCAUCUGGGGAGCCAAGAAGCUGAGAGCUGUAGAGUGCUACAUCAACCUACAGCCUGCUCGGAAGGGGCAAAGAAGAUUUGUGAAGCCAAAGAGCAGUAGAGAAACGGAAGUUCUCUUAGAGAUCAGUAGUAGUGUCAUGCCCCAGAUCCUGGACUCAAUGCUGAAGAUAGGCGUCUACAAACCGUGUUUGAUGUCUAGCCAAGUUUUUAUGCAGUGUCUGUCCCUUUGGUACUUGGAUAAGGACAUAAAAUGUCUGUAUUGGCCAGCUCCUGGUGCCGUGACUGUAAGAACUGAGUUAAGCCUGGAGUAACAACUUUCUGGAAUACCGUUACAAUAUCCAGUAAUAUGUAGCUCAAGGACUUCAUGAGCUGAAGGUAGUAUCUUUGUACUUAUUUAAUUAUAACAAAUAUUUAUUCUAGGAAUUAGUCCAAUUGCUCUUUGAGUCCUUGUAAAUAUGUAGCGGCUGCAUGUCUUAUCUAUGUGAGGAAUAAUAUCCUACUGUUUCUUCUGUACCUGUGGCUGGCUAUUUUCCUUUAAUUUGCUCUUUGUUCUUGUAUAAGAAAGGAGAGUGAACAAUGAAUCCAUGUACAUCACUUCCAGGCCCAUCAUCCUAUUGUUGUCAGUACAACUUCUUUCUCACCUGUAAUUCCCUAGGUAUGUGAGCUCCAUAUGCUGUCUGUGCCAGGUUCUCAUCUUUAGUGGCUGCAGCACCAAUAGAGCUGUGUCUAUAUGUAAAAGAAGAGUACACACUACAAUGGAGCAUUUUCCAUGUAAGGAUUCUCAAUCCUGGUUAGAAAUGUGUCCCUAAUGUAUGAGAACCAGACUUCUCAAGAGAGUGUAAAUCGUGCCAAAUUGUGGAACAGUGUUUUAAUCUGUGUUUGGAAAAGAUAUGCUAGACCACUUCGCUUGUGACUUACAGCUAAAUCACUUAAAUUGUGAGCUUAAGCUUGAGGUAUUUUUAUUGCAUGUUAUUGUUUAAAUAAUGAAACUUGCUUAAUGGAGGAUGCUGUAAUAAAUGGAAUUUCAAAUGAGGGUUGAAAUCCUGUAGAUUGGGUUUUAUCUCAGUUAAUGGCAAUACUAGUUCAGUUUUUUAGCUUCAUCAUAAUACAGGAAUGAGAUUUCUAUUUGAUAUUGCAGUGGAUAUUGCCAAGUGAUUGAUGACACUAAUUUUCUGGCACUUCAACUGCAUGCCAACAAUAUUAAUUGCUUAAUUGUUUUAAGAUACACUACUAUCUACUUGAAGUUGGGGCAGAGUGAGAGUUGUCCUAAAAUGGCAGGUAGUGGGUGCUUUGAAGGCAAGUGUGGCAAGUCUUUAAUUUACUCAUUGCAACACGUACUCUGAUAUUGCUUUCUAAACUACAUCUUUUUUCACUCAACAUCCAGCUAUUCCUGUUGCCUGACCCAGAAAGCUUAUUAAUCCCGUUGCCUUCCAAUUUGCUAGACAAUAAAUAAAGGGCUUAAGAAGGGAAGAUUGAUGGAACAAGUCUUGUUUAUUCAACUCAGAUGCCACUGACAGUGCACUUCACUGCACUUAAACUUUCUCUGCUUUCCACAGCUAGGUUGGCAGAGGUUCACAUCACUAUUCUUGCCACUAUGGUCAGAGCGCCCAGGCUCCUUAAUACACUAUUACUCAGGCUCCUUCAAGAGACAUUCAGGCUGGCCCUUACGCAGUUGACUAGCAAAGACAGAUUACUCUCUAGAUGACAGGGCUUUGCUUGUUUGCUACCUUUCCUGUAGUUGCUUAAACUUGUGAAAUUGGCCAUAAAAUCCCACCAAAUUAGAAAAUUAAAGCUUAAUUCUCUGUUACAUGAUUACUGGCAAUAAUAAUGCAAAAAUCACAUCAUUUCCAGUCUGGUGUAAGUUGUCUUUUUAUGCUCUUUUUGUGUUUGUAUAAUUGACAGUGGCAGAACACUAGAGUUGGGUCAUGGAUAAUUCUGACAAGGUUAACUCAGUGUCCAUUUCUGAAGUAUGCUUCAUAAACAGAAAUUCUUGAGCUCUGUGUGAGGGUGGUGGAUUCUGCGCCUGUCCUGCCACAGAAGCCGGUAACCCAAGAGCUCAACUCUAUGCACAUUAAGAGAGCGUAUAAAUAAGAACAAAGGAGUCUUUAUAUGAAGUAACCUGUCAGACGUUUCUAUUUGAUUUGCUGUUACAAAGAGAUAUCUUUCUGUUAAUCAAAGUAUAGAAAGGAAAAUUUUGCAUUUGCCAGUCCUCAUUCUAAUUUGAAUGAUAAAGCAUAUUGAAAGAUUAAAGCAAAAAAUUGUUUAUUAAUCUUGUUUACCAGUGCCAAAGUCUUACAUUUC